UAAGCCCUGGAGUUAAUGCUACCUUCAUAGCCCUAAUCCCUAAGAUGAGAUUGGGCGUAAAGCGUUUAUAGGUGGCUUUUCAAGUCCGCUGUCAAAUCCGAGGGCUCAACCCUGGACAGGUAGUGGAAACUACUAAGUUGGAGUAUGGUAGGGGCAAAGGGAAUUUCCAGUGGAGCGGUGAAAUGCGUAGAGAUCAGAAAGAACACCAACGACAAAAGCACUCUGUUGUGCCGACAUUGACACUGAGAGACGAAAGCUAGGGGAGCGAAUGGGAUUAGAUACCCCAGUAGUCCUAGCUGUAAAUGAUGGAUACUAGGCAUUGUGCGUAUCGACCUGUGCAGUGCUGUAGCUAAUGUGUUAAGUAUCCCACCCGGGGAGUACGCUCGCAAGAAUGAAACUCAAAGGAAUUGACGGGGGCCCGCACAAGCGGUGGAGCAUGUGGUUUAAUUCGAUGCAAAGCGAAGAACCUUACCAGGGCUUGACAUGCCGUGAAUCCUCUUGAAAGAGGGGGGGGGUGCCUUCGGGAUCGUGGACAGGUGGUGCAUGGCUGACGUCAGCUCGUGCCGUAAGGUGUUGGGUUAAGUCUCGUAACGAGUGCAACCCUCGUGUUUAGUUGCCAUUGUUGAGUUUGGAACCCUGAACAAACUGCUGGUGAUAAGCUGGAGGAAGGUGAGGAUGACCUCAAGUAAUCAUGCCCCUCAUGCCCUGGGCGACACACGUGCUACAAUGGCCGAGACAAAGGGUUGCGAUCCCGCAACGGUGAGCUAACUCCAAAAGAAGCAAAAAAUCCUACAGAUUUUAGGCCAUUCAGCUUGGUGACAAGCAUUUACAAAAUCCUGGCUAAAGUGUUAUCUUUGAGGGUUAAAGUAGUGCUGCUCUCCAUCAUUAGUCAAGCUCAAGGAGCAUUCAUUUAGGGGAGACAAAUAACAGAUCAGAUCCUAA
rnacentral:rRNA from 1 species